GAAAAAUAAGUUUUUAUCCACUCACAGAUCCAUGAAUAGAAUCUGGCUAAAUUGAAGAGACUUUCCAAACUUUCACGUCAUUACUUGAAAUAACGAUAUAAUUACUCAAAUGUAAGUCCACUAAGUAAUUCCACCACUUCUAUAUUUAUUCUUGAAUCUCCAUUUCCCUAACUUUUCUUCUUUUUUAUUUUUACCAACCCAUCACUGCACAUAAUCAAAUCUAUAAGAACCCCAUACUUUCUUAAAACCACUACCUUAUACAUACACAAUUUAAUCCAAUACAUAGACUUCAAUAUUCAUCAUUUAGUUUUUUCAUCCAAACCUUUUAAAUUUGAGAAAACAAAGGUUUGACAAAAACAGCACUACUAUUCUAGAGUAUUAAAUUCUGGCACCUAUUUCUGUUUAUUGAAAACUGCCGCCGAAGCCAUUGACAGAAAUAGCACUUUUUGGGCAGAAUUUCAAA
rnacentral:lncRNA from 1 species